rnacentral:rRNA from 1 species
CCUACGGGUGGCAGCAGUGAGGAAUAUUGGUCAAUGGCCGCAAGUCUGAACCAGCCAUGCCGCGUGCAGGAAGACGGCUCUAUGGGUUGUAAACUGCUUUUGUACGGGGGUAAACGCAGCUACGCGUGUCUGUCUGAAAGUAUCGUACGAAUAAGGAUCGGCUAACUCCGUGCCAGCAGCCGCGGUAAUACGGAGGAUUCAAGCGUUAUCCGGAUUUAUUGGGUUUAAAGGGUGCGUAGGCGGUCGGAUAAGUUAGAGGUGAAAUCCCGAGGCUCAACUUCGGAAUUGCCGUUGAUACUGGUCGUCUAGAGAGGAGUAGAGGUAGGCGGAAUGCAUGGUGUAGCGGUGAAAUGCUUAGAGAUCACACAGAACACCGAUUGCGAAGGCAGCUUACCAAGCUACUUCUGACGUUGAGGCACGAAAGCGUGGGGAGCAAACAGGAUUAGAUACCCCAGUAGUC